UACGUAGGGGGCAAGCGUUGUCCGGAUUUAUUGGGCGUAAAGAGCGUGUAGGCGGUUUGGUAGGUCCGUUGUGAAAACUCGAGGCUCAACCUCGAGACGCCGGCGGAAACCAUCAGGCUAGAGUCCGGAAGAGGAGAGUGGAAUUCCUGGUGUAGCGGUGAAAUGCGCAGAUAUCAGGAAGAACACCCGUGGCUAAGGCGGCUCUCUAGUACGGUACUGACGCUGAGACGCGAAAGCGUGGGAGCAAACAGG
rnacentral:rRNA from 1 species